UACGUAGGGUGCGAGCGUUAAUCGGAAUUACUGGGCGUAAAGCGUGCGCAGGCGGUUCGUUAAGUCAGAUGUGAAAGCCCCGGGCUCAACCUGGGAACUGCAUUUGAAACUGGCGGGCUUGAGUGUGGCAGAGGAGGGUGGAAUUCCGCGUGUAGCAGUGAAAUGCGUAGAGAUGCGGAGGAACACCGGUGGCGAAGGCGGGUCUCUGGGCAGUAACUGACGCUGAGGAGCGAAAGCGUGGGGAGCGAACAGG
rnacentral:rRNA from 1 species